AAAGAAAAGAAUUAAUAGAUGAAACGUUAUAGUUAAUAGAUGAAACGUUAAUAUAGAAUUAAUUGAUGAAACAUUAAUAAAUCAUAUACUAUAACGUAUAGUUGGGGAGGAGAGGGGUUAAUAGAUUAUUAUUAUUAUUAUUAUAUUAUAUAUUAUUAUUAUGAGGAUGAAGGGUUUCUUGCCACGUGGCAAGAAACAUUAUGGCUUCAUUUAGGUUAAUAGAUUCUGUAGCCAUGUCUACUAUUGCAUCACAAGAGUAUAAUCUAG
rnacentral:lncRNA from 1 species